UGGGUGCUGGUGUGGACGUUGGUGUGCAGGUGUUGGUGUGGGUGCUGGUGUGGACGUUGGUGUGCAGGUGUUGGUGUGGGUGCUGGUGUGGACGUUGGUGUGCAGGUGUUGGUGUGGGUGUUGGUGUGGACGUUGGUGUGCAGGUGUUGGUGUGGGUGUUGGUGUGGACGUUGGUGUGUAGGUGUUGGUGUGCAGGUGUUGGUGUGGACAUUGGUGUGCAGGUGUUGGUGUGGAUAUUGGUGUGCAGGUGUUGGUGUGGAUAUUGGUGUGCAGGUGUUGGUGUGGACAUUGGUGUGCAGGUGCUGGUGUGGACGUUGGUGUGCAGGUGUUGGUGUGGACGUUGGUGUGCAGGUGUUGGCGUGGAUGUUGGUGUGCAGGUGUUGGCGUGGACAUUGGUGUGCAGGUGCUGGUGUAGACAUUGGUGUGCAGGUGCUGGUGUGGACGUUGGUGUGUAGGUGUUGGUGUGCAGGUGUUGGUGUGGACAUUGGUGUGCAGGUGUUGGUGUGGAUAUUGGUGUGCAGGUGCUGGUGUGGACGUUGGUGUGCAGGUGUUGGUGUGCAGGUGUUGGUGUGCAGGUGUUGGUGUGGAUGUUGGUGUGGGUGUUGGUGUGCAGGUGUUGGUGUG
rnacentral:lncRNA from 1 species